UACGUAGGGUCCGAGCGUUGUCCGGAAUUACUGGGCGUAAAGAGCUCGUAGGUGGUUUGUCGCGUUGUUCGUGAAAACUCACAGCUUAACUGUGGGCGUGCGGGCGAUACGGGCAGACUAGAGUACUGCAGGGGAGACUGGAAUUCCUGGUGUAGCGGUGGAAUGCGCAGAUAUCAGGAGGAACACCGGUGGCGAAGGCGGGUCUCUGGGCAGUAACUGACGCUGAGGAGCGAAAGCGUGGGGGAGCGAACAGG
rnacentral:rRNA from 1 species